rnacentral:rRNA from 1 species
CGUCUAUAUACGUAUAGCAUAUCAAUAAGCGGAGGAAAAGAAACUAACAAGGAUUCCCUUAGUAACGGCGAGUGAAGCGGGAAGAGCUCAAAUUUGAAAUCUUCAAGGUUCUACCUUGACGAAUUGUAGUUUAUAGAAGUGUUUUCUGUUAGUAGAGUGGCAAAAGUUCUUUGGAAUAGGACAUCAUAGAGGGUGAGAAUCCCGUAUUUGGUCAUUCUUUCUAGCUUUGUGAUACACUUUCAAUGAGUCGGAUUGUUUGGGAAUGCAGUCCAAAAUGGGUGGUAAAUUUCAUCUAAAGCUAAAUAUUGGCGAGAGACCGAUAGCGAACAAGUACCGUGAGGGAAAGAUGAAAAGAACUUUGAAAAGAGAGUUAAACAGUACGUGAAAUUGUCAAAAGGGAAGCGUUUGACACCAGUGUUGUUUUCUCGAAAAUCAAUUUAAAAUGGUUGGAUGCUAGGUUGCUUAAGACUUUAUUAGCUUGUUUCCUAGUUUUCUUACGUACUUUCUUAAUGCACUUUUCGUUUAACAAGUCAACAUCAAUUUCUUUUGUUGUAAAAGGGUAAGAGGAAGGUGGCUUCAGCUUUCGGUAGAAGUGUUUAUAGCCUUUUACCUCUGCAGUCGGAGAGAUUGAGGUCUGCAGCGUAGACUCUUCGGGGUUAGAUACAUUUGUGCUAAGUUAUAGCUUUUCAUAGACAACUUGUUGACUAUGUUUAGUCUUGUAGCUUACUCGCUUACUGCUAUUUUACCUACGCUUAGGAUGUUGACACACGCGCGUGCUCG